UUCCAGGAAAAGCCUCUAAGCAUCAGGUAACAUCAAAUCGUACCCCAAACCGACACAGGUGGUCAGGUAGAGAAUACCAAGGCGCUUGAGAGAACUCGGGUGAAGGAACUAGGCAAAAUGGUGCCGUAACUUCGGGAGAAGGCACGCUGAUAUGUAGGUGAAGUCCCUCGCGGAUGGAGCUGAAAUCAGUCGAAGAUACCAGCUGGCUGCAACUGUUUAUUAAAAACACAGCACUGUGCAAACACGAAAGUGGACGUAUACGGUGUGACGCCUGCCCGGUGCCGGAAGGUUAAUUGAUGGGGUCAGCGCAAGCGAAGCUCUUGAUCGAAGCCCCGGUAAACGGCGGCCGUAACUAUAACGGUCCUAAGGUAGCGAAAUUCCUUGUCGGGUAAGUUCCGACCUGCACGAAUGGCGUAAUGAUGGCCAGGCUGUCUCCACCCGAGACUCAGUGAAAUUGAACUCGCUGUGAAGAUGCAGUGUACCCGCGGCAAGACGGAAAGACCCCGUGAACCUUUACUAUAGCUUGACACUGAACAUUGAGCCUUGAUGUGUAGGAUAGGUGGGAGGCUUGGAAGUGUGGACGCCAGUCUGCAUGGAGCCGACCUUGAAAUACCACCCUUUAAUGUUUGAUGUUCUAACGUUGACCCGUGAUCCGGGUUGCGGACAGUGUCUGGUGGGUAGUUUGACUGGGGCGGUCUCCUCCUAAAGAGUAACGGAGGAGCACGAAGGUUGGCUAAUCCUGGUCGGACAUCAGGAGGUUAGUGCAAUGGCAUAAGCCAGCUUGACUGCGAGCGUGACGGCGCGAGCAGGUGCGAAAGCAGGUCAUAGUGAUCCGGUGGUUCUGAAUGGAAGGGCCAUCGCUCAACGGAUAAAAGGUACUCCGGGGAUAACAGGCUGAUACCGCCCAAGAGUUCAUAUCGACGGCGGUGUUUGGCACCUCGAUGUCGGCUCAUCACAUCCUGGGGCUGAAGUAGGUCCCAAGGGUAUGGCUGUUCGCCAUUUAAAGUGGUACGCGAGCUGGGUUUAGAACGUCGUGAGACAGUUCGGUCCCUAUCUGCCGUGGGCGCUGGAGAACUGAGGGGGGCUGCUCCUAGUACGAGAGGACCGGAGUGGACGCAUCACUGGUGUUCGGGUUGUCAUGCCAAUGGCACUGCCCGGUAGCUAAAUGCGGAAGAGAUAAGUGCUGAAAGCAUCUAAGCACGAAACUUGCCCCGAGAUGAGUUCUCCCUGACUCCUUGAGAGUCCUGAAGGAACGUUGAAGACGACGACGUUGAUAGGCCGGGUGUGUAAGCGCAGCGAUGCGUUGAGCUAACCGGUACUAAUGAACCGUGAGGCUUAACCUU
rnacentral:rRNA from 1 species